CUCCUUCCUUCUCCUCUUCAAAUUCUCCUAAACUCUCCUUCCUUCUCCUCUCUGCUGAAGAAAACUGUUAGGUCGAAACGCAUACCCCUGUACGCUAUUCCAAUACUCAAUUUCAAUCUCUCGCUGUUAUAUCCUCGCCUUUGAUCGUGUCCCAUAAAAAUUUCACCUAUUUUAGUUUCUACGGCCGUGAUUUAAUCGUAGUUUUCCUAGUUUUACGUACAUGCUCAUCAUAGGAGUCGGAGUAAAGAAAUAAAGAACAACCAUUUUUGGAAUUAUACUGGUCCUCCCAUUAUUUAGGCUACAGUGCCGUAGCCCGUAGGAAGCUCUUUUUGAUUGGGGGGGCUGAAAGCGAGGGCCGAAGGCCCGAGGAAAUUUUUAAAUUUAGAGUCUCUGAAAUGCCAUUUUCCUGGACCCUGCAGCCCGGCU